rnacentral:rRNA from 2 species
UUGAAGAGUUUGAUCAUGGCUCAGAUUGAACGCUGGCGGCAGGCCUAACACAUGCAAGUCGAACGGUAACAGGAAGCAGCUUGCUGCUUUGCUGACGAGUGGCGGACGGGUGAGUAAUGUCUGGGAAACUGCCUGAUGGAGGGGGAUAACUACUGGAAACGGUGGCUAAUACCGCAUAACGUCGCAAGACCAAAGAGGGGGACCUUCGGGCCUCUUGCCAUCAGAUGUGCCCAGAUGGGAUUAGCUUGUUGGUGAGGUAACGGCUCACCAAGGCGACGAUCCCUAGCUGGUCUGAGAGGAUGACCAGCCACACUGGAACUGAGACACGGUCCAGACUCCUACGGGAGGCAGCAGUGGGGAAUAUUGCACAAUGGGCGCAAGCCUGAUGCAGCCAUGCCGCGUGUAUGAAGAAGGCCUUCGGGUUGUAAAGUACUUUCAGCGGGGAGGAAGGUGUUGUGGUUAAUAACCGCAGCAAUUGACGUUACCCGCAGAAGAAGCACCGGCUAACUCCGUGCCAGCAGCCGCGGUAAUACGGAGGGUGCAAGCGUUAAUCGGAAUUACUGGGCGUAAAGCGCACGCAGGCGGUCUGUCAAGUCGGAUGUGAAAUCCCCGGGCUCAACCUGGGAACUGCAUUCGAAACUGGCAGGCUUGAGUCUUGUAGAGGGGGGUAGAAUUCCAGGUGUAGCGGUGAAAUGCGUAGAGAUCUGGAGGAAUACCGGUGGCGAAGGCGGCCCCCUGGACAAAGACUGACGCUCAGGUGCGAAAGCGUGGGGAGCAAACAGGAUUAGAUACCCUGGUAGUCCACGCCGUAAACGAUGUCUACUUGGAGGUUGUGCCCUUGAGGCGUGGCUUCCGGAGCUAACGCGUUAAGUAGACCGCCUGGGGAGUACGGCCGCAAGGUUAAAACUCAAAUGAAUUGACGGGGGCCCGCACAAGCGGUGGAGCAUGUGGUUUAAUUCGAUGCAACGCGAAGAACCUUACCUGGUCUUGACAUCCACAGAACUUUCCAGAGAUGGAUUGGUGCCUUCGGGAACUGUGAGACAGGUGCUGCAUGGCUGUCGUCAGCUCGUGUUGUGAAAUGUUGGGUUAAGUCCCGCAACGAGCGCAACCCUUAUCCUUUGUUGCCAGCGGUCCGGCCGGGAACUCAAAGGAGACUGCCAGUGAUAAACUGGAGGAAGGUGGGGAUGACGUCAAGUCAUCAUGGCCCUUACGACCAGGGCUACACACGUGCUACAAUGGCGCAUACAAAGAGAAGCGACCUCGCGAGAGCAAGCGGACCUCAUAAAGUGCGUCGUAGUCCGGAUUGGAGUCUGCAACUCGACUCCAUGAAGUCGGAAUCGCUAGUAAUCGUGGAUCAGAAUGCCACGGUGAAUACGUUCCCGGGCCUUGUACACACCGCCCGUCACACCAUGGGAGUGGGUUGCAAAAGAAGUAGGUAGCUUAACCUUCGGGAGGGCGCUUACCACUUUGUGAUUCAUGACUGGGGUGAAGUCGUAACAAGGUAACCGUAGGGGAACCUGCGGUUGGAUCACCUCCUU